CCCUGGGCCUUUUCAUAGUGUCCCAUGCCAGAGCAAACUGUGCUCCCCAACCGUUGCCUGGACCAUCUGUGGGCUACUGGCACUGAAGGGGUUACACAGAG
rnacentral:snoRNA from 1 species